rnacentral:rRNA from 1 species
UUUUGUAGAAUGAACCGGCGAGUUACGAUUUGAUGCAAGGUUAAGCAGUAAAUGUGGAGCCGUAGCGAAAGCGAGUCUGAAUAGGGCGUUUAGUAUUUGGUCGUAGACCCGAAACCAGGUGAUCUACCCUUGGUCAGGUUGAAGUUCAGGUAACACUGAAUGGAGGACCGAACCGACUUACGUUGAAAAGUGAGCGGAUGAACUGAGGGUAGCGGAGAAAUUCCAAUCGAACCUGGAGAUAGCUGGUUCUCUCCGAAAUAGCUUUAGGGCUAGCCUCAAGUGAUGAUUAUUGGAGGUAGAGCACUGUUUGGACGAGGGGCCCCUCUCGGGUUACCGAAUUCAGACAAACUCCGAAUGCCAAUUAAUUUAACUUGGGAGUCAGAACAUGGGUGAUAAGGUCCGUGUUCGAAAGGGAAACAGCCCAGACCACCAGCUAAGGUCCCAAAAUAUAUGUUAAGUGGAAAAGGAUGUGGCGUUGCCCAGACAACUAGGAUGUUGGCUUAGAAGCAGCCAUCAUUUAAAGAGUGCGUAAUAGCUCACUAGUCGAGUGACACUGCGCCGAAAAUGUACCGGGGCUAAACAUAUUACCGAAGCUGUGGAUUGUCCUUUGGACAAUGGUAGGAGAGCGUUCUAAGGGCGUUGAAGCAUGAUCGUAAGGACAUGUGGAGCGCUUAGAAGUGAGAAUGCCGGUGUGAGUAGCGAAAGACGGGUGAGAAUCCCGUCCACCGAUUGACUAAGGUUUCCAGAGGAAGGCUCGUCCGCUCUGGGUUAGUCGGGUCCUAAGCUGAGGCCGACAGGCGUAGGCGAUGGAUAACAGGUUGAUAUUCCUGUACCACCUAUAAUCGUUUUAAUCGAUGGGGGGACGCAGUAGGAUAGGCGAAGCGUGCGAUUGGAUUGCACGUCUAAGCAGUAAGGCUGAGUAUUAGGCAAAUCCGGUACUCAUUAAGGCUGAGCUGUGAUGGGGAGAAGACAUUGUGUCUUCGAGUCGUUGAUUUCACACUGCCGAGAAAAGCCUCUAGAUAGAAAAUAGGUGCCCGUACCGCAAACCGACACAGGUAGUCAAGAUGAGAAUUCUAAGGUGAGCGAGCGAACUCUCGUUAAGGAACUCGGCAAAAUGACCCCGUAACUUCGGGAGA